GCUUAGAUUUGUAGUGAUAAUUAGGGAUAUGAUUCUGUGAUAUGAUUGGGAUAUGAUUAGACUAUAAUUAGGGAAUUAAUUUAUUUUCUUACCUAAUAUGUACGCUUAUAAGUAGUAUAUAUACCUCAAUUGGCUUGAUGGGAAUUAUCAAGCACUUUCUCUUAAAACUUCUGGUCUCUCUCUUUCUUUUUCAUCAAAGAUUUCAGAAUUGAUUAGCUUUGAACCCAGGAAGACUGGCUGCAUCUAAAAAGCAGUUCUCCUGAAACCUUCACUUUCUUUUCCUUUCUUAUUUUCAUGUACUUGUUUAUUUAUUUUAUAGGAGGGAAGGAAAUUAGUUUUAAGCCUUUGGUUCUUAGAAAUCCUAAAUUGUUAUGUUGAGUGGAUGCAAGGGAAAAGAGAUAAUGAUUGUGGCAUAGGGUUUUGGACCAUAGGAACGAACACAAGGGGCUGAAUCUGCAAGAAGUACCACAUAAGAAAAGAGAAGAAAAAGUGAAAAGAAGAUGUACUCAAGGGUUUGUCUUUUCAAUCUGGUGCUGUUGGUACAGGAUUAGUUUGAAGAAAAUAUAUACCUGAACCAAGAACAUUGAUCUUGGAGGGAUCUUCAUGUAGUGUCCAAGUUUGAAAUCAUUGAGGAAAGAGACAGCCUGUGCCAUGCUCAUAUAACCGUAGGUUUUGAAACAGACAUUGGCUAUUGGUCUCCCUGGAUAUAUGAUACCCAUGACAUACUCUGUGAUUAUGUUUAGCCCUGGUGUCUAUACAUGAAACCACAAUGUCAUUAGUCAAGAACAGUUCACAUAGAACAUGAAACAGAAAAAGAAUGGCUACUAAAUCCAUUUAAACAGAACUUAUGACACUGAUUGGAAGGGUGAAGAAGAAAGCGAUAGCACUGGCAAAAAGUAGUCCCCACCAUGGCAUCUGAACCUGAUCAUUCAAGACUAUGCAGAGAACAAGCGAAACUGCAAGUGUGACUGCCAGCAACAAGUAAAACCACCAGGAAGGUGAUGAUCAACUGCUGGAGAUGUCUCCGCAAAUUGAACCCAUCCAAAUGGUGGGAAUCAAUGCUAUGUGAAACCUGAAUCAAUGCUAUGUCUCAGGUAGUUUGGCUGAUCCCUGUUAGAAAUUUUUUACUGGAAUGCUGGAAGUUACAAAAAUUGAAGUUAUUGUUCUACAAAAAAUAGAAAUAUGAUGGUUCUCCUCCAAUAUUAGCACUCUCUACAAACUAGUUAUUAUGCAAUUAGGUUACAGAUUUGGGAGGAAAAAAGCCUUUUUUUUUUUUUAAAUAUCAUUUUAAAUGCUAGUGAAUUUCUAUUAAAAAGGCAAGACUAAAUUAUGAGUUUUAUAAAA